rnacentral:rRNA from 1 species
GACGAACGCUGGCGGCGUGCCUAAUACAUGCAAGUAGGACGCAGUUGCGAACGGGUGAGUAACGCGUAGGUAACUGACUAGUAGAGGGGGAUAAAUCUUGGAAACGAAAGAGAAUAUCGCAUACUAGUAGAUGGAUCUGCGAUGUAUUAGCUAGUAGGUAGGGUAAUGGCCUACCUAGGCAACGAUACAUAGCCGACCGUGGAGGGUGAUCGGCCACACGUGGACUGGGACACGGGCCCGAAUCCUACGGGAGGCCGCAGUAGGGGAUCUUCGGCAAUGGGGGGAACGCUGACCGGGCAACGCCGGGUGAGGGAAGGAGGGUUUCGGAUCGGAAAGCUCUUUUGUUUAGGAAGCGGUACUUAACCAGAAAGGGACGGCUAACUACGUGCCAGCCGCCGCGGUAAUAC